rnacentral:sRNA from 1 species
CUAUUCUAAAGCAAAAAUCAAGUGUCCUAAAAUUGUAAUAGUGAAUAUAAGGGUCUUUUAAAAGUCAUUAUGUGUGCGUGUUUUUUUUAGGGGGAGAGGGUGAUUCCUAUUCUAUAAGGUUUGUGAAGAUGAGGUGUUACAUAUACUUUGCCUCUUUAGCUCUAGAUCCAUAGCUAACAUAAUCAAAUUAAAACAUGUAAAGAAUGAAGUUACGUAUGAUCGUCUGUUCUGCCUUGAAUCUGUUCUACGAGAAAGGGCAUCUCUUGCGAAAAUAUUGUAGGUAUAUGUGGUGGGCAUUAUAGUGAAAAUAUUGUAGGUAUAUGUGGUGGGCAUUUCUUGUGAAAAUAUUGUAGGUAUAUGUGGUGGGCAUUAUAGUGAAAAUAGUGUAGGUAUAUGUGGUGGGCAUUAUAGUGAAAAUAUUGUAGGUAUAUGUGGUGGGCAUUAUAGUGAAAAUAUUGUAGGUAUAUGUGGUGGGCAUUAUAGUGAAAAUAUUGUAGGUAUAUGUGGUGGGCAUUAUAGUG